GUAUUAAGUUUCGCCCACUAGAGGCUAACACAUUCUACAAGACAUUGAAUAUAGUUUGUGAUAAAGGGGCAAAGUGCAGUCCCAACGGUUCGAGUUAACGACUCGCGGCUCCCAUGACGGAGGACUACAACUUUGAAAGUGCACAGGUGUUGAGUGGAUUUGAGCGGGGCCGAGCACAUGCUUCAGUUACGAAGCCAGCAUCAAGCCCACUUUCAAAACUCGAUAAUGAUCCUUCCGCAGGUUCACCUACGGAAA
rnacentral:misc_RNA from 1 species